rnacentral:rRNA from 1 species
AUGCAAGUCGAGCGGUAACAUUUCGAAAGCUUGCUUUCGUUGAUGACGAGCGGCGGACGGGUGAGUAAUGCCUGGGAAUAUGCCUUGAUGUGGGGGAUAACCAUUGGAAACGAUGGCUAAUACCGCAUAAUGCCUACGGGCCAAAGAGGGGGAUCUUCGGACCUCUCGCGUCAAGAUUAGCCCAGGUGGGAUUAGCUAGUUGGUGAGGUAAUGGCUCACCAAGGCGACGAUCCCUAGCUGGUCUGAGAGGAUGAUCAGCCACACUGGAACUGAGACACGGUCCAGACUCCUACGGGAGGCAGCAGUGGGGAAUAUUGCACAAUGGGCGCAAGCCUGAUGCAGCCAUGCCGCGUGUGUGAAGAAGGCCUUCGGGUUGUAAAGCACUUUCAGUCGUGAGGAAGGUAGUUGCGUUAAUAGCGUAAUUAUUUGACGUUAGCGACAGAAGAAGCACCGGCUAACUCCGUGCCAGCAGCCGCGGUAAUACGGAGGGUGCGAGCGUUAAUCGGAAUUACUGGGCGUAAAGCGCAUGCAGGUGGUUUGUUAAGUCAGAUGUGAAAGCCCGGGGCUCAACCUCGGAAUUGCAUUUGAAACUGGCAGACUAGAGUACUGUAGAGGGGGGUAGAAUUUCAGGUGUAGCGGUGAAAUGCGUAGAGAUCUGAAGGAAUACCGGUGGCGAAGGCGGCCCCCUGGACAGAUACUGACACUCAGAUGCGAAAGCGUGGGGAGCAAACAGGAUUAGAUACCCUGGUAGUCCACGCCGUAAACGAUGUCUACUUGGAGGUUGUGGCCUUGAGCCGUGGCUUUCGGAGCUAACGCGUUAAGUAGACCGCCUGGGGAGUACGGUCGCAAGAUUAAAACUCAAAUGAAUUGACGGGGGCCCGCACAAGCGGUGGAGCAUGUGGUUUAAUUCGAUGCAACGCGAAGAACCUUACCUACUCUUGACAUCCAGAGAAGCCAGCGGAGACGCAGGUGUGCCUUCGGGAACUCUGAGACAGGUGCUGCAUGGCUGUCGUCAGCUCGUGUUGUGAAAUGUUGGGUUAAGUCCCGCAACGAGCGCAACCCUUAUCCUUGUUUGCCAGCGAGUAAUGUCGGGAACUCCAGGGAGACUGCCGGUGAUAAACCGGAGGAAGGUGGGGACGACGUCAAGUCAUCAUGGCCCUUACGAGUAGGGCUACACACGUGCUACAAUGGCGCAUACAGAGGGCUGCCAACCAGCGAUGGUGAGCGAAUCCCAAAAAGUGCGUCGUAGUCCGGAUUGGAGUCUGCAACUCGACUCCAUGAAGUCGGAAUCGCUAGUAAUCGUGGAUCAGAAUGCCACGGUGAAUACGUUCCCGGGCCUUGUACACACCGCCCGUCACACCAUGGGAGUGGGCUGCAAAAGAAGUGGGUAGUUUAACCUUUCGAGGAGGACGCUCACCACUU